GCUGAGCGGCCUCAGUCCCAGCAGACGCCCGGGGCGAAGGCCACAGAUGUAAGGGGCUGGGCUGCUGCGGUCGCGGGGAGCGGGCAAUGGAGGCACGCGCUCUCCCCGCACGUCACCAUGAGUUUCCUAAUAGACUCCAGCAUUAUGAUUACCUCCCAGAUACUUUUCUUUGGAUUUGGGUGGCUUUUCUUCAUGCGCCAACUGUUUAAGGACUAUGAGGUACGUCAGUAUGUCGUACAGGUGAUCUUCUCUGUGACUUUUGCGUUUUCUUGCACCAUGUUUGAGCUCAUCAUCUUUGAAAUCUUAGGCGUGCUGAAUAGCAGUGACGGGCUUUGCCGUGUCUUGCAGCUCCCGUUACUUCCACUGGAAACUGAACCUGUGCGUCAUUCUGCUGAUCCUGGUCUUCCUGGUGCCUUUCUACAUCGGCUAUUUUAUUUGCACAAACAGCGACUGCUUUUUUCCUGUCUCUUAUGGCUGACUUUUAUGUAUUUCUUCUGGAAACUAGGAGAUCCAUUUCCCAUUCUCAGCCCAAAACAUGGGAUCCUGUCCAUAGAGCAGCUCAUCAGCCGGGUGGGUGUGAUCGGCGUGACUCUCAUGGCUCUGCUUUCGGGAUUCGGUGCCGUCAACUGCCCAUACACCUACAUGUCCUACUUCCUCAGGAAUGUGACGGACGUAGACAUCCUAGCCCUGGAACGGCGACUGCUCCAAACCAUGGACAUGAUCAUAAGCAAAAAGAAAAGGAUGGCAAUGACCCGGAGAAGCAUGUUCCAGAAGGGGGAGGUGCAUAACAAGCCGUCGGGAUUCUGGGGGGUGAUAAAGAGCAUCACCACUUCAGCUCCAGGAACUGAGAACCUUACUCUGAUUCAACAGGAAGUGGAUGCUUUGGAAGAACUAAGCAGGCAGCUUUUUCUGGAAACAGCCGAUCUACAUGCUACCAAGGAGAGAAUAGAAUACUCCAAAACUUUCAAGGGGAAAUAUUUUAAUUUUCUGGGUUACUUUUUCUCUAUUUACUGUGUUUGGAAAAUUUUCAUGGCGACCAUUAAUAUAGUUUUUGACAGAGUGGGGAAGACUGAUCCUGUCACAAGGGGCAUUGAGAUCACUGUGAAUUAUCUGGGAAUCCAAUUUGAUGUGAAGUUCUGGUCCCAGCACAUUUCCUUCAUUCUGGUUGGAAUAAUCAUUGUCACGUCUAUCAGAGGACUGCUGAUCACUCUUACCAAGUUCUUCUACGCCAUCUCUAGCAGCAAGUCCUCCAACGUCAUCGUCCUGCUGUUAGCACAGAUAAUGGGCAUGUACUUCGUCUCCUCGGUGCUGCUGAUCCGCAUGAGCAUGCCCCUGGAGUACCGCACCAUCAUCACCGAAGUCCUGGGGGAGCUGCAGUUCAACUUCUACCACCGCUGGUUCGACGUGAUCUUCCUGGUCAGCGCGCUCUCCAGCAUCCUGUUCCUCUACUUGGCUCACAAGCAGGCACCAGAGAAGCAUAUGACCCCUUGAACUCACGGCUGUUGCAGACUGCGAACAGGCCAAUGGUGUCCGCAUUUAGAUAGAACAAGGGAAAGUGGAGGGGACCGGGGCCUGGUAUUUUUUAUACAAACAAGAUGCUGUGGUAGCCUCUUCCACCUGCAGCUAUGCCUUCCUCUCAGACGACACGUUGAUCGUGAGCCGCACUGGCUGGAGCGGAGAGCCAGAAUUGGAAGAAGACUGCGAGGCUGUACUGUGGGCCUGUGCAAGAGAAGGCGAAGGGUCUGUGAGUGCUGGAGCGUGGACAUAAGCCCGGGGGUAGGAUCAUGACUAGAAGCCAGGUGACCGACUUCUGCACUUGGCUUUGCUUUCAGCUUGCUGUCUGAAACCAAUUUCCUUUCUGUAACUGACUCCCUGCAGAGAUGUUAUAGAAUUCUUGAAAGACAACGAGAAUACUUUCUCGUUAAGAAAUCUACAAUAUGGUCAGUGGCUAUUACGUGUGCCUUGUCUGAAUAUUUGUCUCUCCCCCAAAUGCAUAUGGUGAAAUCCUUAUCCCCAAGGUGAUAGAAUGAGGGUAUGGCCUGGCGGUGUGAUAAAGUCAGGAGGGCAGAGCUGGGAUUGUGCCCUUAAAAAAAGAGAGCCCCAGGGCUCCCCAGCUCCUGCCACCCUGAAGGGGCAGAACAAGAAGUCCGGGUCUGCAGCCUCGGAGAGGCCUGCAUGGGCACCAAUCUGCCGGCACCUGGAGCUUGGACUCCCCAGCCUCCAGAAUUGUGAGAAACAAAUGUCUGUUGUUUACAAAGCCACCCAGUGUAUGGUAUUUUGUUAUAGUAGCCUAACCGGGCUACGACAGUGGGUGUUCCUUAAAAAUUAGAUUUUUGUAUUACCAGUCGGAAGAAUUACAUUAAUGUAAUGAAAGAAAAAUAGUAUUAAACUUUAAGUCUUGGCUUUGCCAAAUGUUUCCUUUAAUGAACUUGGAUAGGUCAGUUCACUCUUGGACCUCAAGUUCAUCAAUGAAAAGAAAUUGGACAACAACAAAAACUGAGAUUUACCAAGGAAUUUAUCUAAUCUAAAUACAUACAGCAUAGCGUUUGCUCUUCCCUAGUAAUAAAACUUGAAUACCUAGCAGUUAUUUUAAAAACAACUCUGUCUCUAACCACCACCAUUCCUUUUAUGCUUACUGUGCACAGGGCACUAGCCAAACCACUUUAAUAGUCUUAGUCAAUAUAAUCCUGAUAACAGUCCCACAAAUUAUCCUUGUUUUAUAGGGGAGGCUACCAAGGCACAGAGAGAGUAAAUCCAUUUGCCCAUAGCAGAAGCAGAAUUUGUACAUAAAUAGUUUGAUUCAAGUUCCAUUCCCAUUAUAAUUUUGAUAAACUUAUUUCUUGUCAACUCUCUGCUAUGAAAAAUAAGAAAUUUGUUGUUCUUGUACUACAUCCUUUCCCCUACAAUAACUUGAUUUGUCAGUUACCUUUACAUGAUCAUUUUUAGUAUUGUAGGAACUCUGUGGUAAACAUGGACAUGAGAUGCACUUAGUUAAGGACUUUACCAUAUACUGGUAAGUUAGAUCAUUAAAAGAAAUGUGUUAAUAAAAAACAAACAAAAUAAAUAAAUAAAAGGUUAAUAUACUACAUGUCCUAAAAAAAGAAAAAAAUGUGUUGCCCAGCUGGUGUUGCUCAGUGGUUGAGCAUCGACCUAUGA